CCUACGGGUGGCAGCAGUAGGGAAUCUUCCACAAUGGACGAAAGUCUGAUGGAGCAACGCCGCGUGAGUGAAGAAGGGUUUCGGCUCGUAAAACUCUGUUGUUAAAGAAGAACAUAUCUGAGAGUAACUGUUCAGGUAUUGACGGUAUUUAACCAGAAAGCCACGGCUAACUACGUGCCAGCAGCCGCGGUAAUACGUAGGUGGCAAGCGUUGUCCGGAUUUAUUGGGCGUAAAGCGAGCGCAGGCGGUUUUUUAAGUCU
rnacentral:rRNA from 1 species